AUUUACAUUUGAGUGAGUGGCGAACUGGUGAGUAACACGUGGGAAACCUGCCCAGAAGCGGGGGAUAACACCUGGAAACAGAUGCUAAUACCGCAUAACAACUUGGACCGCAUGGUCCGAGUUUGAAAGAUGGCUUCGGCUAUCACUUUUGGAUGGUCCCGCGGCGUAUUAGCUAGAUGGUGAGGUAACGGCUCACCAUGGCAAUGAUACGUAGCCGACCUGAGAGGGUAAUCGGCCACAUUGGGACUGAGACACGGCCCAAACUCCUACGGGAGGCAGCAGUAGGGAAUCUUCCACAAUGGACGAAAGUCUGAUGGAGCAAUGCCGCGUGAGUGAAGAAGGGUUUCGGCUCGUAAAACUCUGUUGUUAAAGAAGAACAUAUCUGAGAGUAACUGUUCAGGUAUUGACGGUAUUUAACCAGAAAGCCACGGCUAACUACGUGCCAGCAGCCGCGGUAAUACGUAGGUGGCAAGCGUUGUCCGGAUUUAUUGGGCGUAAAGCGAGCGCAGGCGGUUUUUUAAGUCUGAUGUGAAAGCCUUCGGCUCAACCGAAGAAGUGCAUCGGAAACUGGGGAACUUGAGUGCAGAAGAGGACAGUGGAACUCCAUGUGUAGCGGUGAAAUGCGUAGAUAUAUGGAAGAACACCCAGUGGCGAAGCGGCUGUCUGGUCUGUAACUGACGCUGAAGGCUCGAAAGUAUGGGGGUAGCAAACAG
rnacentral:rRNA from 1 species